rnacentral:rRNA from 1 species
AUGGGCUCCGGGACGGGGAAGGUGGUGUGCGUCACCGGCGGCUCGGGCUACAUCGCCUCCUGGCUCGUCAAGUUCCUCCUCCAGCGCGGCUACACCGUCCGCGCCACCGUCAGGGACACCGCCGACCCCAAGAAAACAUUGCACCUGCAGGCCCUGGAUGGAGCCAAGGACAGGCUGCACUUGUUCAAAGCAAGCUUGUUGGAAGAAGGCUCUUUCGAUGCUGCCGUUGCCGGCUGCGAUUGUGUCUUCCACACGGCUUCUCCCUUUUAUCACAAUGUCAAGGAUCCCAAGGCUGAGUUACUUGACCCAGCUGUCGAUGGAACGCUCAAUGUUCUCCGUUCCUGCAAGAAAGCCUCUAUCAAGAGAGUGAUCGUAACCUCAUCCAUGGCUGCUGUUGCCUACAAUGGGAAGCCAAGGACUCCUGAUGUAGUGGUUGACGAGACAUGGUUUUCAAGUGCAGAAGUCUGCGAAAAGAAUAAGCAAUGGUAUGUGCUAUCCAAGACCCUUGCCGAGGAGGCUGCAUGGAAGUACGCAAAUGAUAAUGGAUUAGAAAUAAUUACAAUAAACCCAACAAUGGUCAUCGGUCCCCUGUUGCAGCCUACACUGAAUACUAGCACAGAAGCAAUAUUGAAGUUUAUAAAUGGUUCGCAAGCAUGA